AUGAAAAGACUGUAUAUGUAUUUCAUUUUCAAGGCGGUACUAACAAGCUGUGUUGUGUGAUAUAGUGAAUUAUCCCUUUGCUAUCCUUUAAUAUAAAAUUGCAUUUCAAUGAAACCCUGAGUCGCUCCUCUGUGUACUUUUUACUCUGUUUACUAUCAAACUCUGCAGACAAUGAAGAGACUAAAUAAGACGGUGCAGUUUAGGUCUGGUUUCUGUCCCCUCGACAGUACGGAAACCGCUCAAAAUCACUAACCAUCUCCUCCCUCCUGCAGAUGCGGGUUUAAUGCACUGUGGUCUAUAUUCGCAAAUCUAGAGACCAUCAAUGAACACUGUUUUUUGCAGUGACUCGUUCCGGUGAACUCAAUUUUGGGAUUAUAGAUUCAGACAGCUCUACAAAAUAGUGCACUAUUAAGUCCAAAUGCCAUGACGCGUUGUAACAUGACAUGUUGUAAAGAAAAGUUUAAUAGAAAAAGACAAAGAUAGAAAAAGUUCCUGUAAAGUAGCAGCCAUCAUUCUGGACAUUCCACUCCAUCCACCUGAUCAUGAGCUUUACAGCAGGUACUCCAUGUCUGGGGAGGUACUCCAGCACAGUACCUUCUUCUUUUGAUCAGAUGCCCAAAGUACUCGUUAAUUUACCAAUAUUAUCCAGCAAUUUAUAAUAAUUCAAGUGAAUAAAGUGACCCUUGAAAUAGUGAUGACCACGCCUCUCCUUGAUGUACACCUGGCAUGCCCCGCCCACCACGUCAUUGACUUCAUUGACUGGAAGCAGGACGUCUGGAAACCAGCAGGAGCCCUGGAUUUGGACGUCCCUGUAUCAAACUAAAUGUGAAUUUUGAGGUUUAAAAAAAAAAAGAAAAGAAAAAUAUAUAUAUUUAUAUAUAUAAGUUUUAAAGACUGUUUGCUUUUGCACCAUCGUAGUUUUUUUAUUUAAAAAACGUAUUGUGUUAUAGAAUACUAUAAAUAAAAAACUUAACUUUUAAAACUAAAGCAUGGCGUUCAUUUGAAUGACUCAGAGUUUCAACAAACCUCCCAUUGGCUGUUCUGAGGAUCCGUGAUUUAUCUGUCCAAUCAUCGUCCACCUUGCUGAGGAAAUGAGCCAAUCAGCGUAUCCCGUCAGUGUUUAAAACUUCAGACAGCGUCUUUCCCUCGUUCAGUUCCUCAAAUCUACGCAGGAUCGUCUUGGAGGAUAUCGGUCACGAUUAAGAUGAUCGGCAGAUGAGUCGGGACACCAGCUAUCGAUCUAACCACGAGAAGCUGAUGCGGCCCGGAUGCUUCCCCAGAUCCUGUUGAGAUGACAUAAGGUGAAAUGGACCUCAAUCAACAAGUUGCUUCUUGUGAAUAUUUUUAAAUGAAAAGGUGAGAUUAAGGCAGAAACUUGAGUUGGGCUGGUGUCUUCACCUUGGAUUUUAUGAAAUGGACGUUUUGGUUUGUAUAGAUCAGGGGUCGGCAACCUGCGGCUCCGGAGCCGCAUGCGGCUCUUCAAGCACCCCCUUGCGGCUCAGUGGCGCUUUUUCAAAAAUGUUUGUAAAUAAUAAAAAAUGUUGGAAGGAAUUAUAUUCUCGGGAUUUGGGUGGGAGCAGUACCAAGUAGAUAACUGGCAGGUUUGAAUCCAGAGAUCACUUGUGUCCCAUACAUUGCACGAACCCAAAUGUUAGGAGGAGGAAGCGUACACGCAGGCAGGGUAAAUCAUCUGGUGUCAACAUAUGACCACCAUUCGCUUUACAAUAGAGAACCACAGAGUAGCCGACACUGUGAGGACCCUCACUCAUACACACACCACUCUCACUCAUGGUGCCGGUAAAACACUCAAGUCCCAUAAUGCAACACAAGAACAGACACUAACUCCACCCACUAACAAGGAACUA